rnacentral:rRNA from 1 species
UACGAAGGGGGCUAGCGUUGCUCGGAGUUACUGGGCGUAAAGCGCACGUAGGCGGCUUCUUAAGUCGGUGGUGAAAUCCUGGAGCUCAACUCCAGAACUGCCUUCGAUACUGGGAAGCUCGAGUCCGGGAGAGGUGAGUGGAACUGCGAGUGUAGAGGUGAAAUUCGUAGAUAUUCGCAAGAACACCAGUGGCGAAGGCGGCUCACUGGCCCGGUACUGACGCUGAGGUGCGAAAGCGUGGGGAGCAAACAGG